rnacentral:rRNA from 1 species
GUAGAAGCAUUGUGCGGCGAGUGAGCGGCAAAGCUCAAUUUGAAAUCUGGCGCCUUCGGUGUCCGAGUUGUAAUUUGAAGAUUGUAACCUUGGGGUUGGCUCUUGUCUAUGUUUCUUGGAACAGGACGUCACAGAGGGUGAGAAUCCCGUGCGAUGAGAUGCCCAAUUCUAUGUAAGGUGCUUUCGAAGAGUCGAGUUGUUUGGGAAUGCAGCUCUAAGUGGGUGGUAAAUUCCAUCUAAAGCUAAAUAUUGGCGAGAGACCGAUAGCGAACAAGUACAGUGAUGGAAAGAUGAAAAGAACUUUGAAAAGAGAGUGAAAAAGUACGUGAAAUUGUUGAAAGGGAAGGGUUUGAGAUCAGACUCGAUAUUUUGUGAGCCUUGCCUUCGUGGCGGGGUGACCCGCAGCUUAUCGGGCCAGCAUCGGUUUGGGCGGUAGGAUAAUGGCGUAGGAAUGUGACUUUACUUCGGUGAAGUGUUAUAGCCUGCGUUGAUGCUGCCUGCCUAGACCGAGGACUGCGAUUUUAUCAAGGAUGCUGGCAUAAUGAUCCCAAACCGCCCGUCUUGAAACACGGACC